rnacentral:rRNA from 1 species
UGGGGAAUACUGCGCAAUGGGGGCAACCCUGACGCAGCCAUGCCGCGUGUGUGAAGAAGGCUUUCGGGUUGUAAAGCACUUUCAGCAGUGAGAAAAAGCCAACGGUUAAUAGCUGUGGGUCUUGAUGUUAACUGUAGAAGAAGCACCGGCUAACUCCGUGCCAGCAGCCGCGGUAAUACGGAGGGUGCGAGCGUUAAUCGGAAUUACUGGGCGUAAAGCGCGCGUAGGCGGUCUGUUAAGUCGGAUGUGAAAGCCCCGGGCUUAACCUGGGAAUUCCAUUCGAUACUGGCAGACUGGAAUGCGGGAGAGGGAGGUAGAAGUCCAUGUGUAGCGGUGAAAUGCGUAGAUAUAUGGAGGAAUACCAGUGGCGAAGGCGGCCUCCUGGCCUGACAUUGACGCUGAGGUGCGAAAGCGUGGGGAGCAAACAGGAUUAGAUACCCGCGUAGUCC